rnacentral:lncRNA from 1 species
ACACACAACUCUUUAAUCUUCAAACUAUUAAAUACCCAUUAUAUCUUUCCCUCCACUAAAAUCUACACUAAUAUAUAUCAUUUCUAAUAUUCUCAUUAGGCUGUUAAAAAAAUUAACCAAACUAAAGAUAAUGUAUUUAGGAAGGAAGAUAAGUUCUUAGAGGGACACCUUUGCAUGUAAAAUAUGUAACAUGUAACCCCUAAUAUAAAUUUACAUUAUCUGUCGCAAAUUUAUUAGACAAUUCAAAAUAUAAAUUAUAUCUUAAAUAUAUAAAUUUGAAAAAUAAGAUACAAAAUUUUGAAUAAAAAGUAAUAAGUCAUUUUACUAAGACUAUCGAGAUAGAGAAAGAAAACAUGAGAGUGCCGGAAGAAAUUCCCCUUUAUAAAUAUUUCGUGUGAAAAUGUGACCGAACUCAGGCAGUCACUUUCAUUGUAGAAUGCACUAAUGGGCCCACAUUCGAUAUUUUUUUUUAUCACAGGGGACUUCGUUUUAUACCCCUAUUGUUUUCUUACUGUACCUCC